rnacentral:rRNA from 1 species
UACGGAGGGGGCGAGCGUUAUUCGGAAUUAUUGGGCGUAAAGGGCGCGUAGGCGGCCCGGUAAGUCAAAGGUGAAAUCCCUCGGCUCAACUGAGGAACUGCCUUUGAAACUGUCGGGCUUGAGGCCGGGAGGGGGUAGCGGAAUUCCCAGUGUAGCGGUGAAAUGCGUAGAGAUGUGGAGGAACACCGAUGGCGAAGGCAGCCCCCUGGGCUAACACUGACGCUCAUGCACGAAAGCGUGGGGAGCAAACAGG